GCCGGGUGUGGUGGCGCGCGCCUGUAAUCCCAGCUACUUAGGAGGCUGAGGCAGGAGAAUCGCUUGAACCCAGGAGGCGGAGGUUGCAGUGAGCCGAGAUUAUGCCACCGCACUCCAGCCUGGGCAACAGAGCGAGACUCCAUCUCAA
rnacentral:SRP_RNA from 1 species